UGCCGGAGCCCGGACCUCAGGCGUCUCAGCCGGUUCCUGCGGGAAACGACUGUAAAUCCACAUUACUGUUCGAGCUGCCGCUCGGGCCCCAGCAUCGCUCUCCUCCGGUCCGUCGCGACGGUGCUCCGAGCCGGCAGCCGCCGGGGGCAGGUACCGAACCUGGCUACUACCGCGCCAGUGGACGAUCGCUGCCCGGAGGGUGCUAGCGCCCGGGGUCGUAUGUGGGUGCGAGAGUGUGUAUACCCGUGUGUGUCCGUGAAAGAGAGUGUGCGUGUAUGUGCGAGCAGAAGGGAUGAGCUCAGCCCCCGGGGCACUCGGAGGUGAACUCCGGGCUAAGCCGGAGCCCGCCGCGCUCCCGGGUGCGGGGCGUCUGCACGGCUGAUGGCUGUGCUGAUGUUGCUGUGGCCGCCGCCGCCGCGCUCUAAGGCUGGUCGCGGUGGUGCAAAAAAUGUUUCUCCGCUACUCGAGACCAAAAAACCUGCCCUGUCUACUGAGCAUGCCCGGUUUGACAGUUCCACAGCCAAGGUUUUCUUUUUUUUUUUUUUUUCUCUCCCUUUUCCACCAAGACUCCAGGUUUUAGCCGCAGCUGAGAUGGGGUGGGGAGGAAGGGGGAGCUCCGGAGGAGGAGCAGAAGAGGAGGGCUGAGGGAGCAGGUAGCGGGCAAAGGAAAGGGAAAUCAAAAUGAGAAAGAUCACGGUGUUAGAGGGUGGAGGGAGGGAAGGAGAAAGCUGGGGGUGGGGGAGCAAAGGAAGGAAAUAUGGAUCAACAAAAUUUAGAUUUCGUACCACGAUGAGUUCCCGGCCAGAGUACUCUCAUGACCAGCUUCUAUUUUCUCCAGAGGGUUAGGUGGGGUGGGAAGUGGGGUUCGGAGGAGUGUUUGUCAUCCCCAAAUCAACCUGGGAUAGUGUUUUAUAGUCAAGACAUACACAAACGCACGCGCUGUUGCACAUACCACACACACACAUAUACAGAAGCGUGAUCACGACCGCGAUGUGUAAAGCCUGAGGACUGACUUAGAAUGCAAAGUCUCUUGCCAGCAUAACUUUAGCAAAAAAAAAGAAAAAGAAAAAGAAAAAAGCGAGGUGGCGGGGAGAGAGAGAAAUGUUUGGGUUCCUCCUUUCCCCCUCUACCCCGCCUUCUAGAAAAGCCCAGCCCGUGAGUGCGGUGCGAAAGAGACCCGCAAGCUUUCUUAGCGUCGGUCCCUGUGAGAGGACCUCUGACUGCCUCCCGCUGCCAGCGUGACCUCAGUGAGCGAAGGCCGGCCACACGCAGCCUCCUGGCGGCGCGUCGGGUCAGCGCUGACACUAUUCCCCCCUCCCCCACCCCCGGAGCCGGGCCCUGCGCUCCAGCCGCUGCCCCGCCUGGUCGGCCAGCUCCCUGGGCUCCCCAACCGGCUCCGCCCCUCACCCAGGUUCGGUCCGUGCCCCAAGCCCUGGAUCCCUCCUUUUCCACCCUCUUGAGCUUCCGCGAAAAAGCGGAAAAGCGGAAUCUGCACGCUCAGAAACUCGCUUUGGGAGCCUAAGGAGUCCUACUGGGCAUGCUCAGGACUUGGGGCGCCUCGCGUGGAGUAACUCUCCAGCCGCCAAUAUCUUCACGGCUGGGCCAGAUGUGAGUCUGAAGUAGGAGACGUGGACCCCGGAUCGGGGUUUGGCUCCGGUUCCGGGAAGGGCGGCGGCGACGCCCACAGUCGCCUCCUCCUUCCCGGCUUCCCGGCGAGAGCAAGACGGUGGGAGAUACCAAGUGCCGAGCCAGGGGAGCGGCACCAACUGGAGAAAUGAGUCUAGCGUACUCCCAGACCCCCUUCCCCCAGCGCCACCCCCGCCGUAGGCAGGUAGGGGGCGCGCAAAGCAGCGGAGAGAGCCCAGUGAGUGUUUGCCGGGACUGCUAGCCUCUAGGUAAAGAAAGAGAGCGCGAAGAGUUGAAUUUUCUUUAGAAGACAGACGUUACCGAUGGUUUUCUUGAGUGAAGAAAGAAGGGCGUGUGUGAAAAUGUGUAUGUGUGCACGCACGUUUGUAAUUUUUCUCCGCAAGAGCAGGGACAGGAAAGCGAGAAACUAUUGGCGAGUUGAGAGUCCGCUAGGGGUUGCAAUAAGGCACAUUUGGAGCCUUGGCUGGCGCUAAUUAACAGGAAGAGUUGCUCGCGGCUCGUCGGGCGCCCACCAAAGCUUCCAGCUGUUCUUCUCCCUGGGUGGUGGCAGCUGCACGAGCAUGGCUUCCGGGCUGGACGGUCCCUGCACUCCCAAGCAGGGAGACCGGAUUCGGUUUCCUAAACAGAGAUAGUACAGGAUGAUGCCAGUGGAGAUCUCGGAACAGUGUGUUCCCAUCUUCGCAGGUUUUGAUACAGGUAUUUGCAAAGAGGCAACACUGUAAGCCCAGCACACCAACGAGGGGAGGAACUACAGCUAGCUGAACACUCUCAGGGUAAGAAUCAGAGAAUCGAGAGAACGUUUAUCCCCAUCGUCCCUUUUUAAACACUGCCUUCAGCUUCAGGCAGGAAUCAUUUGGAUUACUGCCGCUCACCAUCACCCCUCGCUCUGCCAACAAAGAAACAAAAGAUGACAACCCGACUCUGUGGGGGGAUAGCAACUGCUUCCAGAACCAUCUCUCUGUUGGCAGUUGAAAAAGCAAUGGGGAAGGGGUGGCUAUAAAACCUGUGUCUAGCCACCAAUAUGUAAACGAACAUUCCUAAAACCCACUACCCUCCUCCAAAAACAAAACAAAUACCUGUAUAUGUGAAAACAUAUAUUUCGGAGAUAUAUAUAUAUAUCCUAAAUAAAGAAAAGAUUUCUCAUUAAGAACUACCUGAGCAAUGAACUGUGGAGGGAAAAGACUUUCAGGAUACCUCCUCAAUUCCCAUCUAAGAGUUCUAGAAGGAGGAAAUAGAAACAUCUGGUCAGUUACUUCUCCAGUGAUUCAAAUCACUCUCUGAGUCUAAGGAAUUCUGUAAAUAAUGAUUAAAGAGAGUUCCUCAUUAAUGAAAAGGGAAUUUUGGCAGAAUGAGACUUGGACAAAUCAUAACGGCCAUGGAAAUGAAAUGUACGAUUUAAAACCAUGAUCAUCCUCACUCUCACACUUGCUACCUCUUUGUUAGUCAUUUCGAAGACACAGGGAGGAAGGGACGGUUGAUACCCAGGGAUUUCAUGAAAGGAAACUCAGCUUGUUUCUCUCCUGGCAAUUUGGCAGUCUGUUUAAUCAUCUUUUUUUUUUUUUUUUAAAGAAACUCUCCUCUAUCGCCUCCUCCUCAUGUUUUCUCUCACAUUCUUCCCUCUCAUUUUCCUUACCAGUCUUGCACAACUCCCGGGAGUCCUUAAUUCAUUUGGUCUGCACCUGUCUCCCUUUAGUUCCUUCAAAAACAUUGUUUCCCUUUCUAAUUCCAAAGUACAGGCGGCUCUCACUUUUCUCCAUUUCUGCAGAACCGAUUUAGUGCUUCUGGAGGUCCAUAGCCUGAUACUGUAGGUGGAUUUCGGAAAGCAUUUAUUCAACUUCAGAGAUUCCCUAGACACAUUUAAGUAACAGGAAAUUGAAGAAUUUUUAAGCGUUUUGCUCACAGGACCAGGAAUUUCUAUUUUGAAUGUGGAUAUCAGAAAGAAGCCAUGCUAAAUUGCCAGUUUUAGAAUGGUCAAUGUGAAGGAAAAUAUAACCAGUUGUAAUGGAGCAUACAAUCUGUAUAAGACAGUUACCCAGUUGCCUGGGUUAUGUUAUUAAUAUUCAAAUAAUUUGCUAGGAAUUUUAAAAGAGAUACCUUUUCGUUAACAAAGACCACACACAUGCAUGCAUACCCAAAACUAAUGUAAUCACAUAAGUUCAAUUCAGCUGUUGCAUAUGGAGCAUCUACCUUGUUUCAGGAACUGUGCCAGCACUUAGAAUAGUAAAGAAAUUGCAGAGGCUAAAAUAUGUUCAAAGAUUUGUGAACAACUUACUAAUCAACAAGCAUAAAAUGAAUGGCUGUUACCAUGUUCCUAGAACAAUUGAGUCCUAAAGAACAAUAGUUAGCUUUGAUUUCUGUUAAUUUGUUUAAUCCAUAGCUUGCAUUCUUUGCAAAGAAUGCAUAAUGGAAAAUAUCACUUAUUUCAAUCUUGUUU
rnacentral:lncRNA from 1 species